rnacentral:rRNA from 1 species
GACGAACGCUGGCGGCGUGCCUAACACAUGCAAGUCGAGCGGGGAGUUAGCAAUAACUCCUAGUGGCGAACGGGUGAGUAACGCGUAGACAACCUGCCUCUAAACUGGGGACAACACCGCGAAAGUGGUGCUAAUACCGAAUGUGGUAUCUUGAUCGCAUGAUUGAGAUAAGAAAGAUGGCCUCUACAUGUAAGCUAUCGAUUAGAGAUGGGUCUGCGUCUGAUUAGCUAGUUGGUGAGGUAACGGCUCACCAAGGCAACGAUCAGUAGCCGGUGUGAGAGGAUGAACGGCCACACUGGGACUGAGACACGGCCCAGACUCCUACGGGAGGCAGCAGUGGGGAAUCUUCCGCAAUGGACGAAAGUCUGACGGAGCAACGCCGCGUGAGUGAAGAAGGUCUUCGGAUUGUAAAGCUCUGUCGUUUGGGACGAACGUAUCCUGUGUGAAUAAUGCGGGAUAAUGACGGUACCAAAGGAGGAAGCCACGGCUAACUACGUGCCAGCCGCCGCGGUAAGAC